UAAACAAUUGGGCAUGAAAACAUGUGUAGUAUGAUGCCUAUCAGUUAGUUUUACCCUACUAAUGAUUGUGUCGCAAUGGUAAUUCAACUUAGUACGAGAGGAACUGUUGAUUCACACAAUUGGUCAUUGCGCUUGGUUGAAAAGCCAGUGGCGCGAAGCUAUCAUGCGCUGGCUUAUGACUGAACGCCUCUAAGUCAGAAUCCAGGCCAGAAGCGACGCGUUGUCCACUGCUCGUUUGUCAACCAGCAGUUGGGGCCCUUCGGCCUCCAACGACACGUGUCGUUGGCUAAGCCCUCGCGGCAGACGAGCCGCGCGGUCCACCUUGAAUUACAAUUUCCACCGGGCGACGGACUGAAUCCUUUGCAGACGACUUAAAUACGCAACGGGGUAUUGUAAGUGGCAGAGUGGCCUUGCUGCCACGAUCCACUGAGAUUCAGCCCUUCGUCGCUCCGAUUC
rnacentral:ncRNA from 1 species